AGGAUAUCGGCACCUGCAGCAACCCAUAAUGCUACAUGCUAGGCUGUGUACAGGUGUCCCAGAUUACAUAUAAUAGAAGAAAAUCCCAGAAUGCAUUGCAACAAACUCAAAACAUUCAAAACAUUCAAGAUAGCAGACAAGCUGCUUGAGGACAUGAGAUUUACAGACAGAGAGCGAAAGAGGCAUGAAAAGAGGGAGUCAACGGGAGAUUAAAAAAAAAAAGUUCACAAUAAGAG